UCCCUGGUGGCUCAAAUGGUAAAGAACCUGCCUGCGAUGCAGGAGACCAGGGUUCAAUCCCUGGAUUGGGAA
rfam:TPA: Bos taurus chromosome 12, whole genome shotgun sequence.